rnacentral:ncRNA from 2 species
AUAAAGAUUCAGGGGUGCCCCUAUGGGUUUGUUACGAUAAACUCUGAGGCUGAGAAAAUACCCUUUGAACCUGAUCUGGGUAAUGCCAGCGUAGGGAGUUGAAACGGGAAUUUCUAA